rnacentral:ncRNA from 1 species
CAACCUCAACUCAUAUGGGACUACCCCCUGAAUUUAAGCAUAUUAAUUAGGGGAGGAAAAGAAACUAACAAGGAUUUUCUUAGUAGCGGCGAGCGAAAAGAAAUCAGUUCAGCACUAAGUCACUUUGUCUAUAUGGCAAAUGUGAGAUGCAGUGUAUGGAGCGUCAAUAUUCUAGUAUGAGAAAUUAACGAUUUAAGUCCUUCUUAAAUGAGGCCAUUUACCCAUAGAGGGUGCCAGGCCCGUAUAACGUUAAUGAUUACUAGAUGAUGUUUCCAAAGAGUCGUGUUGCUUGAUAGUGCAGCACUAAGUGGGUGGUAAACUCCAUCUAAAACUAAAUAUAACCAUGAGACCGAUAGUAAACAAGUACCGUGAGGGAAAGUUGAAAAGAACUCUGAAUAGAGAGUUAAAUAGUACGUGAAACUGCUUAGAGGUUAAGCCCGAUGAACCUGAAUAUCCGUUAUGGAAAAUUCAUCAUUAAAGUUAUAAUAUUUAAACAAUAUUAUACAAAUAAUGUGCAUUUUUUCCAUAUAAGGACAUUGUAAUCUAUUAACAUAUUAAAUUUAUCAUAAAAUAUGGCUUAUAGUUUAUUCAAAUUAUUAUGCUUGCAUUUUAACAUAGAAUAAAUGUCAUUAAUUUGAUAAAGUGUUGAUAGACUAAUAAGAAUACAGUGCGUUUAUUUUUCGGAAUUAUAUAAUGGCAUAAUUAUCAUUGAUUUUUGUGUUUAUUAUAAGCACUUGGAUGAAUAACAAUGCCAAAGAUUCCGGAUACCUUUCGGACCCGUCCUGAAACACGGACCAAGGAAUCCACAUAUGUGGCAGUUAUUGGGAAAAAAACCCAAUAACCUAAUUACUUGACUAAAAAGGGGAUUUGUUUUUUUAAAUUAUUUUAAACCUAAUUAAACCCAUCCCCGGGGGGGUCCAAAAAAGGUUUGGAAAAAAAAAAUUUUUAAUUUUUUUUUGCCCCCCAACCGGGGAAAGGUCCUUUUGGGCAAAAUUUGUGGGGCCCCGAAAAGGGGGGAAAUUUUUUUUUUGUUCGGUGUAAAGACGGGGGGAAAC